rnacentral:rRNA from 1 species
CCUACGGGCGGCUGCAGUGGGGAAUAUUGCACAAUGGGCGCAAGCCUGAUGCAGCCAUGCCGCGUGUGUGAAGAAGGCCUUCGGGUUGUAAAGCACUUUCAGCGGGGAGGAAGGCGUUAAGGUUAAUAACCUUGGCGAUUGACGUUACCCGCAGAAGAAGCACCGGCUAACUCCGUGCCAGCAGCCGCGGUAAUACGGAGGGUGCAAGCGUUAAUCGGAAUUACUGGGCGUAAAGCGCACGCAGGCGGUCUGUCAAGUCGGAUGUGAAAUCCCCGGGCUCAACCUGGGAACUGCAUUCGAAACUGGCAGGCUAGGGUCUUGUAGAGGGGGGUAGAAUUCCAGGUGUAGCGGUGAAAUGCGUAGAGAUCUGGAGGAAUACCGGUGGCGAAGGCGGCCCCCUGGACAAAGACUGACGCUCAGGUGCGAAAGCGUGGGGAGCAAACAGGAUUAGAUACCCCAGUAGUC